GGUGUCGCUGAUGGAUGGACCCGCGGUGCAUUAGCUAGUUGGUGAGGUAACGGCUCACCAAGGCCACGAUGCAUAGCCGACCUGAGAGGGUGAUCGGCCACAUUGGGACUGAGACACGGCCCAAACUCCUACGGGAGGCAGCAGUAGGGAAUCUUCGGCAAUGGACGAAAGUCUGACCGAGCAACGCCGCGUGAGUGAAGAAGGUUUUCGGAUCGUAAAGCUCUGUUGUUAGAGAAGAACAAGGAUGAGAGUAACUGUUCAUCCCUUGACGGUAUCUAACCAGAAAGCCACGGCUAACUACGUGCCAGCAGCCGCGGUAAUACGUAGGUGGCAAGCGUUGUCCGGAUUUAUUGGGCGUAAAGCGAGCGCAGGCGGUUUCUUAAGUCUGAUGUGAAAGCCCCCGGCUCAACCGGGGAGGGUCAUUGGAAACUGGGAGACUUGAGUGCAGAAGAGGAGAGUGGAAUUCCAUGUGUAGCGGUGAAAUGCGUAGAUAUAUGGAGGAACACCAGUGGCGAAGGCGGCUCUCUGGUCUGUAACUGACGCUGAGGCUCGAAAGCGUGGGGAGCAAACAGGAUUAGAUACCCUGGUAGUCCACGCCGUAAACGAUGAGUGCUAAGUGUUGGAGGGUUUCCGCCCUUCAGUGCUGCAGCUAACGCAUUAAGCACUCCGCCUGGGGAGUACGACCGCAAGGUUGAAACUCAAAGGAAUUGACGGGGGCCCGCACAAGCGGUGGAGCAUGUGGUUUAAUUCGAAGCAACGCGAAGAACCUUACCAGGUCUUGACAUCCUUUGACCACUCUAGAGAUAGAGCUUCCCCUUCGGGGGCAAAGUGACAGGUGGUGCAUGGUUGUCGUCAGCUCGUGUCGUGAGAUGUUGGGUUAAGUCCCGCAACGAGCGCAACCCUUAUUGUUAGUUGCCAUCAUUCAGUUGGGCACUCUAGCAAGACUGCCGGUGACAAACCGGAGGAAGGUGGGGAUGACGUCAAAUCAUCAUGCCCCUUAUGACCUGGGCUACACACGUGCUACAAUGGGAAGUACAACGAGUUGCGAAGUCGCGAGGCUAAGCUAAUCUCUUAAAGCUUCUCUCAGUUCGGAUUGCAGGCUGCAACUCGCCUGCAUGAAGCCGGAAUCGCUAGUAAUCGCGGAUCAGCACGCCGCGGUGAAUACGUUCCCGGGCCUUGUACACACCGCCCGUCACACCACGAGAGUUUGUAACACCCGAAGUCGGUGAGGUAACCUUUUGGAGCCAGCCGCCUAAGGUGGGAUAGAUGAUUGGGGUGAAGUCGUAACAAGGUAGCCGUAUCGGAAGGUGCGGCUGGAUCACCU
rnacentral:rRNA from 1 species